UCAAACCCCAAUCUCUCUAUUUCAGUCCCAAUAAGUACUCUUCAACUCAUGACGAACAACAACAAUGGCAUCACCAGUAAAAACAGCAGCA